UGAAUUCCAGAAAAACACAAAUGACUUGUGA
rnacentral:piRNA from 1 species